AAAAUUCUUUAUAAUGAAUGGGUAUUUACAAGUUCACUUCAUUGAAUAAAAAUCUGUCUUUUCAUUUUAGAUAUUGCCAAAAUGCAGGAAGCAAUUUCCUUUAAGUAAUUUGGAAAGCAAACCAAACAAGGCGCUGAUUUGCUGAUGCUGCCCAUUGUUUUUGUAUGUACUUCUCAAUGGCAAGAGUUGCCGCAGGCGUUGACGGCGGAGGUGUCACCAUCAAAACCAUUAGAAACAACACCACCAAGUCAAUGCAAGUGGAAGUUUUGCCAUGUAAUAGUCGACCGCUGACGCCCUUCUCCAUCAAUUGUGUAAGUACGCAUCGAAACAUUCAUAUCGUAGUCAACUAGCUUAAUCUUCAUCUUCUAGGUGUAAAGAGUUUACUACCAGUCUGCAGUUCUGCAAGAGACGCAAGAAAAACAAGAAUACAAUCGCAGGAACUCAAAAAUUGUCCAACCUUGACUGUAAGAGAGUUCAAAUUUUAAAUCUACAACAAAUCCAUUUAUUUUGCUCCUAAGAAUCGCACUGGCUUAACGGUGGCAAUCAUUCGGAGGCAAAUGAGCUGGCCCGACAAGAAUCCCCAAGAAGCCAAACAGAUUCAGAUCAGUCUCUCGGCAACUACUGACGAUGUCGGC